GAUGAACGCUAGCGACAGGCCUAACACAUGCAAGUCGAGGGGUAGCAGGAUUAAGCUUGCUUAAUUGCUGACGACCGGCGCACGGGUGCGUAACGCGUAUGCAACCUACCUUAUACUGGGGUAUAGCCCGGAGAAAUUCGGAUUAAUCCCCCAUAGUACUAAUGAAUCGCAUGGUUUAUUAGUUAAAGCAUUGCGGUAUAAGAUGGGCAUGCGUCCUAUUAGCUAGAUGGUGAGGUAACGGCUCACCAUGGCUACGAUAGGUAGGGGGCCUGAGAGGGUGGUCCCCCGCACUGGUACUGAGACACGGACCAGACUCCUACGGGAGGCAGCAGUGAGGAAUAUUGGUCAAUGGGCGCAAGCCUGAACCAGCCAUGCCGCGUGCAGGAAGAAUGCCCUAUGGGUUGUAAACUGCUUUUAUUUGGGAAUAAACCUCUUUACGUGUAGAGAGCUGAAGGUACCAAAUGAAUAAGCACCGGCUAACUCCGUGCCAGCAGCCGCCGCCG
rnacentral:rRNA from 1 species